rnacentral:rRNA from 1 species
UACAGAGGGUGCAAGCGUUAAUCGGAAUUACUGGGCGUAAAGCGAGCGUAGUCGGUUAUUUAAGUCGGGUGUGAAAGCCCCGGGCUCAACCUGGGAAUUGCAUUCGAUACUGGAUAGCUAGAGUUCGGCAGAGGGAAGCGGAAUUUCCGGUGUAGCGGUGAAAUGCGUAGAUAUUGGGAAGAACACCGAUGGCGAAGGCAGCCAUCUGGACCGACACUGACGCUGAGGCGCGAAAGCGUGGGGGAGCAAACAGG